rnacentral:lncRNA from 1 species
AGGUUUAGAUGAUCUUUGAUGCGUAGUGAGUAACAAUGGUUGCCUUGCGUCUGGCACCACCGCCAUCAAUGACUGUCCCGCCGGACAUUACUUGGCUCCGAAACAGUUCUUGAUCACCCAUGGUAAGUAUUUUCUAUUAGGAAAGAUUAUAUUUGAUUAUAAUGAAUAUGGAAUGAUUAGUGUGAAUUUUUUUUUAGGAGGAAUUAGUGUGAAUUUUAGAAAGAACAAAUUUAGGAAAGAAUCAUUAUGCAAUACGAUUAUAUGAUUUACCAAUCAAUCAAUAAUCAGCCAAUUUUAGAUACAAAUUAACAAUGGAAACUUAAUAAUCUAGGUUUUAGCUGUAAAUUCAUUAGUUCAAAUGAUAAGAGUUUUACAGCUAAUCAACGGUGAUUUGUGGUUUCUAAUUUUUUCUUCCAUGGUCACACCGAUUUUGAUUGAUGCGUAUUUAUCGUUUGGAGAUUAGUAAUUAGAGGAUUACUGUGAACUUUCGGGGGUUUUUUGUAAUUAUUUUAUUUUUAUUUGGUUUUAUUUUGUUUGACGAAGUCAGAUCUCGGUUGACUGUUGAUUUAUUUUGCUAAAUAGAUGCUUAAGUAAUCGGAUGUGUUUAGGUAUCGGUUUGAAAGUUCAGUGGGAUGUAAUGUUUGUUUUACUUUAUAACUAAUUAGCUGAACGUGUAAGAUUAAUAAAUUGGCGCACUUGAUUUCUUUGUAUGUGUUGUUAGUGUUUUUGCUUAUAUUAUAGGUGAAUUAUGAUUAAUUAUUUUUGUUAAUUAAUUUUAUGAUUGAAUAUUUUUAUUGUUGGAUUUAUUUCAAUUUAGCAGUGGGUAACUAAUGGGGCUGAUUUUCGAUUUAAUUGUUGGAUUUUUGAAAGAUGGAUGUUAAUGGUUCUGAUGAUGGUAUUUGUACAUAUCGAAGGCCACCAAGAAAUUGAUUUGUGCCAAUUUACCAUGAAUUGCUACCAUUUUUAUCAAGCUCAAAAGCAAGACAACAAAACUGAGCAUAAGAAUUCUCGAAAAUGUUCAUA